UUGGGAUGCUGGUUUUGUGGUUCCUUUCUUGAGGGUUGAGUGAAAGGACUCUAUGCACACUCUUGCCAGUUUGGUGGUAAGUUACAUUGACUCCUAAUCUGUACUAUUUCUUUCCUAGCUUUGAUAUAGGUACCUUAAUGUUGUGAGCUGUUUCAUGUAAUCUACUAGUAGUUCUUCUGUUUUAUACUAUGUAGUAAGUAACUCUGUUCAAGACCUUUUCUCUAUUAUCUCCUGUCUAUUCAAUAAAUAACUAAUUUCAUAAUAGACCUGAUCUGCCACUCUUAGAACUUGUGAGCCCGAGUGGUUUAGGUGCAGGCCACCUAAUUCCAGCUGUACCCACAAAAUAUUAGAGGCAAUUGCAGUUUUGAUUCAAAUUUUAAUUAAAGGCUGAAGUGUUGCUGAUACUGCGAUAGAGUCAGAGUCUUUCUCUACAUUGUUGUCAUCACGCCAAUUCCCAGGAGACACUCGAGGGGCGCUUGGAGGCCAGCUGGGGGUGCUUGUGGGAUCAUUAAUGGAUCUGUAGGGGCGCUUAGGGGGCGGGGCGGCAGUUGGAGAGCAUUUGGAAGUCCGAGGGGACACACAGGGGGCAUUUUGGGGGCAAGUAGGGGGCGGGAGGACUUCGGGACCCUGAGGGGCACUUGGGGGUCAGGAGAGGGAAAGUGGGGGUACUUACGGGGCCCCGGGGCGCACUCACGGUUCAGGGGAGCACUCGGGGAGCAGCUGGGACGGUGCUUAGGGGACAGUCCCGGCCCUGACGGGCCUCUGGCGGGCCGCCGGACAUGACGGGAACCGCAGUCCCGGCUCUAUCGGCGACCUACGGGGCCCCGCGGUCUUUCGGGAGUUGUAGUCCAGGAAGUGAGUAAACUGGCGCGGAACCAGCGGCCAGUGAGAGACGAGGGGGGGCCACGAGGGAUUUUUCGGGGCUUAGGGGGAGCUUCUGACGCCCCCAUAACCGCCCCCCCCAGCACCCUCAGGGGCAUAGGGAUACCAGAACCCCCUGCCGCCAUGUCGGCCGUGUGAAGGUGAAGAAGACAGGGUAUCCAGAGAGCUGCUUCCCAUUGGCCAGAGGGUCUUGUGGGAGUCGUGUGGCCUCCACCAUGGAUCCUGCCACAAGGGUUCCUGGGAGACAGCCUGGGGGGAAGACGCCCGCUGGUGAAUGCAGAAGUGCCUCAGGCUGAGCCUCUGCGGGAGGUAUGCGAGAAGUGACACGGAACCGUCCCGA